GGUGGCUCAAUGGUAGAGUGCUUGCCUUGCAUGCAUGAGGCCCUGGGUUCGAUUCCCCAGCACCA
rfam:Dipodomys ordii contig_65595, whole genome shotgun sequence.